AAAUAAUUUACUUAAAUUAAACUUUAAGUUUAACUAAUUUUUA
rnacentral:tRNA from 1 species